rnacentral:rRNA from 1 species
AUGGGGAACUGCUGGGGCGCCAAGAUCAGCUCCGACAGCUCCUCCUCCUCCCCUUCAGGGACAAAUUCCAAGUAUGCUAGUAGGAAUGGGGCGGCCUUGAGCAGCUCCAGCAGCUAUGCCUCCGCGGCGUCAGUGCCACGGAGCGAGGGUGAGAUUCUGGAGUCAGCGAAUGUCAAGGCCUUCUCUUUCAAUGAGCUGAGGACCGCCACGAGAAACUUCCGGCCAGACAGUGUGCUAGGCGAGGGAGGGUUCGGGUCAGUCUUCAAGGGGUGGAUCGAUGAGAAGACCCUCACCCCAACCAAGCCUGGCACCGGGAUGGUCAUUGCUGUGAAGAAGCUUAAUCAGGAAAGCUAUCAGGGCCAUAGGGAAUGGCUGGCUGAAGUGAAUUACCUUGGACAACUAUCGCACCCGAAUCUUGUAAAGCUCGUUGGGUACUGUGUUGAAGACGAACAGCGGCUUCUCGUCUACGAGUUCAUGCCUCGUGGGAGUUUGGAGAAUCAUCUCUUUAGGAGGAGUACACAUUUCCAGCCGCUCUCCUGGAACCUUCGGAUGAAAAUUGCCCAUGGAGCAGCUAAGGGGCUCGCGUUUCUCCACAGUGACAAGGCCAAAGUCAUCUACCGUGAUUUCAAAACCUCAAAUAUCCUCCUAGAUGCGAACUACGACGCAAAGCUCUCAGAUUUUGGCCUGGCGAAGGACGGACCGACCGGUGACAAGAGCCAUGUGUCCACAAGGGUGAUGGGGACAUAUGGGUAUGCUGCACCAGAAUACCUUGCAACAGGCCACCUGACCACGAAGAGCGACGUGUACAGCUUCGGCGUGGUCCUCCUGGAGAUGCUGUCGGGGCGGCGCGCGGUGGACAAGAACCGGCCGACCGGCGAGCACAACCUGGUGGAGUGGGCGCGGCCGUACCUGACGAGCAAGCGGCGCAUCUUCCGCGUGCUGGACCCCCGUCUGGGCGGGCAGUACUCCCUCGCCAAGGCCCAGAAGGCGGCGUCGCUGGCGCUGCAGUGCCUCUCGGUGGACUCGAGGAACAGGCCGAGCAUGGAGCAGGUCGUCGUGGCGUUGGAGCAGCUCCACGACGCCAAGGAGGGAGGUAACAGCCCUCGCCCGCAGCUGCAGAGGAAGCCGAGCAGCAACCGGAGCCUGACCGGCUCGAGACCAUCGUCGACCAAGGGGAACAACAACAGGCCCGCUUCGUCGAGACCGGUUUGA